GUUAACCUCGGGCGGGGAGCCGGGGGAAUAAGGAGGUCCCGGUGGUUGUUCGGAUUCACUGGGCGUAAAGGGUGCGUGGGUGGUUGGGUAAGUCUGAUGUGAAAUCUCGGAGCUCAACUCCGAAAUGGCAUUGGAAACUACCUUGCUCGAGGGUUGGAGGGGGGACUGGAAUACUUGGUGUAGCAGUGAAAUGCGUAGAUAUCAAGUGGAACACCAGUGGCGAAGGCGAGUCCCUGGACAACUCCUGACACUGAGGCACGAAAGCUAGGGGAGCAAACAGGAUUAGAUACCCCAGUAGUC
rnacentral:rRNA from 1 species